rnacentral:rRNA from 1 species
AGAUUGAACGCUGGCGGCAGGCCUAACACAUGCAAGUCGAGCGGCAGCACGGGUACUUGUACCUGGUGGCGAGCGGCGGACGGGUGAGUAAUGCCUAGGAAUCUGCCUGGUAGUGGGGGAUAACGCUCGGAAACGGCGCUAAUACCGCAUACGUCCUACGGGAGAAGGCAGGGACCUUCGGGCCUUGCGCUAUCAGAUGAGCCUAGGUCGGAUUAGCUAGUUGGUGAGGUAAUGGCUCACCAAGGCGACGAUCCGUAACUGGUCUGAAGAGGAUGAUCGAGUCACGACUGAACUGAGACACGGUCCAAGACCUCCGUAACGGGAGCAGCAGGUGGGAAUAGUUGGACAAGU